rnacentral:rRNA from 1 species
GACGGACGCUGGCGGCGUGCCUAAUACAUGCAAGUAGAACGCUGAAGCUUGGUGCUUGCACCGAGCGGAUGAGUUGCGAACGGGUGAGUAACGCGUAGGUAACCUGCCUGGUAGCGGGGGAUAACUAUUGGAAACGAUAGCUAAUACCGCAUAAGAGUAGAUGUUGCAUGACAUUUGCUUAAAAGGUGCAAUUGCAUCACUACCAGAUGGACCUGCGUUGUAUUAGCUAGUUGGUGAGGUAACGGCUCACCAAGGCAACGAUACAUAGCCGACCUGAGAGGGUGAUCGGCCACACUGGGACUGAGACACGGCCCAGACUCCUACGGGAGGCAGCAGUAGGGAAUCUUCGGCAAUGGACGGAAGUCUGACCGAGCAACGCCGCGUGAGUGAAGAAGGUUUUCGGAUCGUAAAGCUCUGUUGUAAGAGAAGAACGAGUGUGAGAGUGGAAAGUUCACACUGUGACGGUAGCUUACCAGAAAGGGACGGCUAACUACGUG